GUAUAGUGCACUUGAUUAUUUUUUUUCAACUUAAUAUGUUAGAUAUGUAUUCUAAAUUAGGAGAUGUGAUAUUGAUCUAGUGCAGUUAAUAAGGUUUGUUUUCUUUUGUUUAAGCAACGUUUAAGUUUUGGCUUUUAAAUCUAUUCAAAUAACUGUUGAUAGCUCAUAGUUUUAUCCCUAAAUCUAUUUAAUGUGCAGGUCAAUUUUUUUAUUCAUGUUUUGUUACUUGUACAGACCCUUUCUCUAUCAAAGUUACUUGUACAGACCCUUUCUUUAUCAAAGUUACUUAUAUAGACCCUUUCGCUAUCAGUGCUCAAUAUUGAAGAAAGGGUCUGUACAGGAACCUUUGUUCCAUCCAUACACAAACCUUUCAUAAACCUUCAUUUUCUAAUAAAUAGAUGCAGAAGGCACAUGGGGAACGAAAUAUGUCAGCAUUAUAGGAGGCAGUUGUGAGAGGUAUGUGCAAGUUAGGUUAACUAAUAAAUAGAUGCAAAAUAAUUUGAUGAACAUAACAAGAUGACCCCCUUUUUCUGUGCAGUUACAACAUUAGAAUGUACACUAUGUUCUACUCUAGGUACUUCGACGAGGAGUUUAUUAUAAGAGUACUAACUAAGGUGAGUUUUAAAAAAUAAUGGCUGAUAUGUGCUUUUUAUGUAAUAUGUGUAGUAAAAAAAUAAUAUAUAAUCAAAUGUAAUUUAACAUUGAAUUAUUCUACAGGGUGUGAGUAGGCUGUAGAAGUUGAACAUUCUAUACCAAAUGCUGACUAUGAAUAGAAAUGAAGGUCAUCCUCCUGCAUGGAUUCUAGAAAGGAUAGGAAAAUGGUUGCUGCUAUAGAAUUAAUUGAAGGAAAAUACAUCCUGAGAGAUGGCUAAAGAAUCUAUAGAACAUAGCUUUAAUGAACAAAUGAGCACGAGAAAUUGUAUCUUGUGAGCAGUGUAGUGUAGUUGGCGAAGCAAAUCAACUUCUUAUGAGUUUUGUACCUUCUCCUAAAUGAAAAAAAAAUAUUUUUCUCAUGUUUGAAAUUUAUGAUGACAUAGCUAGUUGUUUCUUUGUUUUAAAGAGUAUAGUAGAUGAAACUGAGUUCGGAAGAGACAAGAGAAAAGGUAUAUGUAAGUGUCCAUGGGGCAAAUUUGUUGUGCGUGGUAAUUGAGUCUAGCUACAUGAUAAAUGGAUAUAAAUUGAGACAAAAAAAGAUGAAAUACAUGCAACUUUAGUGGUGUGGAGCAGAAAAAAUUGGUAUAAUGAAGAUAAUUAAAAUAGUUAAAGGAAAUAUAAGACAAAAAAGUCCAAAAAAUGUGCACUAAUGUGGAAUAGUAAAAAUAAGUAUUAACAAAAAAGUGUUAAGAAUUAUCAUAUAAAUAAUUAACUUUGAAAAUAGAUAUUAUAAGAGUGAACUAAAUAAAAGAUGAAUAAUAGUAGUAAAAAAGUGUUCUAAAAAAAAUAAACAGAGAGACAUAAAAAAAGAUAAGGAAAAAAUAAAAAAAAAGAUGCUGGGAUUGACGUUGACAGCAGGUGGGAAUCAACGCGCGUGCUGAUAGAAGAUGAGAAAUGGAGGUAGUAAAGGGCCAACGCAAAUCCUAAAGCACGAGCAACGGUGAAUGAUAAGACAUGCGCAUGCUAGCCAUUGCGGAGAUGUUCAUUCGGUCAGAACUACUAGGUUUGGUUGUUUGUUGUUUGUUGAGCAUCCCAAUUGACUGCACCGCUAGCGCUAGAGGAUACGAGCCCGUAUUUAUAGAAACAGAAUUUAUAUCCAAAUCAUCUAGGUGAUGGGUAUUUAUGUUUUCAUCUACCCUAGUUUGUUACCGUUUGUGUCCUGUGAGCUCAAUUGUUUUGUUUCUUUUAGCCCAUUUGUAUGUCACGUGGAGACCGGAGACGAGAGGGAGGGAGCUGCGGACUGCGGGGAAUCGCCCCCUCACCACAGCUGCGGACUGUGGCGUUGUCCCUCGCCUCAACCUCACUCCCGUCCAGGCCUCCACGGCAGCUUCCAUCUGGUCGCUUCCGUUGUGCUCUCUCACCUUAACCCCAAGCCCCUCCACAUCAGCUUCCAUUGGUUGUGUUGUGUACGGGAUGUCGCCGAUGGGUGGAGUGGGCUGCUCCGCCCAACAGGUGCGGUGUUGUUCUCAUAAUCUGUAGUUGUGUGAUAAUUAUUUCUUCAAUGCGAUUUAGUUAGAGCAAGUAUUAUAAUACAGCCAGCUGCUGGCUGUAAGAUUUUUUACAGUCUUCUUACAGCCCACUCAUAUAAUGGUUAGCUCAUCACUAUUAAUAUAUGGUCCACUU
rnacentral:lncRNA from 1 species